rnacentral:rRNA from 1 species
UUGAACGCUGGCGGAAUGCUUUACACAUGCAAGUCGAGUGGCAGCGCGGGGCAACCUGGCGGCGAGCGGCGAACGGGUGAGUAAUAUAUCGGAACGUACCCUGUCGUGGGGGAUAACACAUCGAAAGAUGUGCUAAUACCGCAUACGACCUGAGGGUGAAAGCGGGGGAUCGCAAGACCUCGCGCGAUUGGAGCGGCUGAUGUCGGAUUAGCUAGUUGGUGGGGUAAAGGCCUACCAAGGCGACGAUCCGUAGCUGGUCCGAGAGGAUGAUCAGCCACACUGGGACUGAGACACGGCCCAGACUCCUACGGGAGGCAGCAGUGGGGAAUUUUGGACAAUGGGCGAAAGCCUGAUCCAGCCAUUCCGCGUGAGUGAAGAAGGCCUUCGGGUUGUAAAGCUCUUUCAGGAGGGAAGAAACGGUUGAGGCUAACAUCCUUGACUAAUGACGGUACCUUCAGAAGAAGCACCGGCUAAGUACGU